rnacentral:misc_RNA from 1 species
AACUGAUACUACCUGCGGGAACCUGCGGAGGGAUCAUUAAUGAAUCUUCAAAGUCGGCCCCUGCUGUGCUGGUGCCCUGCACAUGUGCAUGCUGGGGUUGCAAAUCCACACACCAGUGCACAUUUGACUCUGAGUGCCUUACCCUUGUUUGGGGGGAGUUUGAUUGCGGUCAAGCUGGUGCUCGAGUAUUUUCACACUCUGAAUGUAAAGGAAUAUGUCCAUGCAUAACAUGCAAAUGAA